rnacentral:misc_RNA from 1 species
GCUAUCGUAUUUGUCCAACAAUUUUACAUAGCCCUUGUUUUCCGAGUCAUAAGACCACUGUGACUCGCAACCGUUGGAGUUACUAUCUUCCUCUUGAUACUUGUCGUGGGAAGCCAUGUUGCCGUCGAUUUCUUUUUUGUUGUCUUUAUCUUCAACCUAUUCAGCAACAGAGCUAUCCGCAAUCUUUAGUUCGCUACCCGGCUCUUCGCCAUGGAAGCUAUCUUUAGUCUUUGAUUUCUUCAACGGU